rnacentral:misc_RNA from 1 species
CAGCCAUUGAUUGUUGUUGGUGGGUUAUCUGUGAGAUGAUCUCUCUUCUCUUUUCUCUUAUGUGUGUGAGAGUGUAUUUGAAAGACAGAGAGCGGAUUUAGACGGUGGUGAAUUCGUGGGCUUAAGGCGGAAAUUUAGAUGGAGGACUUCGUAGAUAGCUUUGGAUUUUUGUUUGAGUUCACCGAAUUUUCGAACUUGGGUA